AUAGAGACUCAGAGCUGCAUAUCAAUAAGCGGAGGAAAAGAAACUAACAAGGAUUCCCCUAGUAACGGCGAGUGAAGCGGGAAGAGCUCAAAUUUGAAAUCUUCAAGGGUUUCCCUUGACGAAUUGUAGUUUAAAGAAGUGUUUUCUGUUAGAGAGGUGGUAAAAGUUCUUUGGAAUAGGACAUCAUAGAGGGUGAGAAUCCCGUAUUUGACCAUUAUUUCCAGCUUUGUGAUACACUUUCAAAGAGUCGGAUUGUUUGGGAAUGCAGUCCAAAAUGGGUGGUAAAUUUCAUCUAAAGCUAAAUAUUGGCGAGAGACCGAUAGCGAACAAGUACCGUGAGGGAAAGAUGAAAAGAGCUUUGAAAAGAGAGUUAAACAGUACGUGAAAUUGUCAAAAGGGAAGCGUUUGACACCAGUGUUGUUUUCUCGAAAAUCAAUUCAUGAUGGCUUGAUGCUAGGUUGUUAAGACUUUAUCAGCUUACUGUCUAGUUUUCUUGUCUUUGUGAAUGCACUUUUCGUUUAACAAGUCAACAUCAAUUUCUUUUGUUGUAAAAGGUUAAGAGGAAGGUGGCUUUACUUUCGGGUAAAGUGUUUAUAGCCUUUUAACUCUGCAAUCGGAGAGAUUGAGGUCUGCAGCGUAGAUCCUUCGGGGUUAGAUACGUAGAUGCUAAGUUAUAGCUUUUCAUAGACAACUUGUUGACUAUGUUAGUCUUGUAGCUUACUCGCUGACGCUAUAUUACCUACGCUUAGGAUGUUGAAGAUAUGCGCGACACG
rnacentral:rRNA from 1 species